rnacentral:rRNA from 1 species
CCGCUUGAGAAGCAAACGGGCUGUAGUCAAGCUGCAAGCCUUNAAGAAAUAGGUUGGUCAGAAUGGCGUGAGUCUGAGCACAUAGAGCUGCCAGGUGGGUUCGACUAUAUGUCGUGUUCGGCUCGCAAGGGUCGGAUCUUGCGAAGCGUCUCGGCGCUGCAAGCCUGUCUGUCAGUUGCUCUACUGACCCUCUUAAUUUCUUUUGGCGUAUGUCACGACCGUCUUCGCUGCCGGUCUGCUCCAUUUAAACCGUUUCGUGAGUAGUUACGUGCUACUUGCGUUGCGGGGGCAGGUAGCUGGUCUGGCCUCGGCUGGAUUGGUGUAAUUGCUGAGUGGAGUGGUAUCUGUAACUGUGCAGUAAGACGGGGCUGGCGGUGCAUUGUUGCCUGGCGUGCUAAAGUGUGUCGGCGUAGUUGGCGUAUGGCUACUCGUUGCUGUUAAUAACAGCCUUGUGGUUGCCCGACUGCGGUUUGAUGCGCGCGCUGCGCUGGGUCAAUCGUGCGUUGUGCCUAUAGUCUGUGGCGUAGUGGUAGACGAUCCACCC